UACGUAGGGUGCGAGCGUUGUCCGGAAUUACUGGGCGCAAAGAGCUCAUAGGUGGUUUGUCGCGUUGUUCGUGAAAACUCACAGCUUAACUGUGGGCGUGCGGGCGAUACGGGCAGACUGGAGUACUGCAGGGGAGACUGGAAUUCCUGGUGUAGCGGUGGAAUGCGCAGAUAUCAGGAGGAACACCGGUGGCGAAGGCGGGUCUCUGGGCAGUAACUGACGCUGAGGAGCGAAAGCGUGGGGAGCGAACAGG
rnacentral:rRNA from 1 species